GGGGAGGAUUUGGGGUUUUGCUGGGCUGCUAUCAUGCAGUCGACGAACUCCGGUAUUGUGUGGUGCUUGCAUCGUGAUUUACAUUUGAGUGAGUGGCGAACUGGUGAGUAACACGUGGGAAUCUGCCCAAAGCGGGGGAUAACACCUGGAAACGGAUGCUAAUACCGCAUAACAACUUGGACCGCAGGGUUUUAGUUUGAAAGAUGGCUUCGGCUAUCACUUUUGGAUGGCCCCGCGGCGUAUUAGCUAGAUGGUGAGGUAACGCCUCCCCAUGGCAAUGAUACGUACCCGACCUGAGAGGGUAAUCGGCCACUUUGGGACUGAGACACGGCCCAAACUCCUACGGGAGGCAGCAGUAGGGAAUCUUCCACAAUGGACGAAAGUCUGAUGGAGCAUGCCCGCGUGAGUGAAGAAGGGUUUCGGCUCGUAAAACUCUGUUGUUAAAGAAAAACAUAUCUGAGAGUAACUGUUUCAGGUAUUGACGGUAUUUAACCAGAAAGCCACGGCUAACUACGUGCCAGCAGCCGCGGUAAUACGUAGGUGGCAAGCGUUGUCCGGAUUUAUUGGGCGUAAAGCGAGCGCAGGCGGUUUUUUAAGUCUGAUGUGAAAGCCUUCGGCUCAACCGGAGAAGUGCAUCGGAAACUGGGAGACUUGAGUGCAGAAGAGGACAGUGGAACUCCAUGUGUAGCGGUGAAAUGCGUAGAUAUAUGGAAGAACACCAGUGGCGAAGGCGGCUGUCUGGUCUGUAACUGACGCUGAGGCUCGAAAGUAUGGGUAGCAAACAGGAUUAGAUACCCUGGUAGUCCAUACCGUAAACGAUGAAUGCUAAGUGUUGGAGGGUUUCCGCCCUUCAGUGCUGCAGCUAACGCAUUAAGCACUCCGCCUGGGGAGUACGGCCGCAAGGCUGAAACUCAAAGGAAUUGACGGGGGCCCGCACAAGCGGUGGAGCAUGUGGUUUAAUUUCGAAGCUACGCGAAGAACC
rnacentral:rRNA from 2 species